UUGAAGACUGGGAUUAGGAGUACAUCGACUCUUAGAACUAUAAGGAUUUUAUAAAUCAGGUGGUAGAUAAAAUAAUCCAUAAUCCCUGCAGUGGAGGUUCUGUUGACUAGCCUAAGAGAGGGGGCACAGACUCAGAUAUACCUUACCUCGAUCGGAGAGCCGUGUGAAGGGUGUCUCUGGAGGCUCGGGGAAUUCCAUAGUUAGUUGACUUUGACAAGGACUUUCAUUUGGACUUGAAUUGGUAAAAGUUGUAAGUUUUCAGCUUCUGAUGCAUUUUGGUUAG